UCACGAGGAUCCUACUGUCUCCCCCCUCUAAUCAGUGAAACUGAUCUCCCCGUGAAGAAGCGGGGAUAUACAUAUAAGACGAGAAGACCCCAUGGAGCUUUAAACCUGACAGCACCCGCUCAUUCUAUACCCCAUUAUUUGCCCGACCCCUGUCUGCUCAGUUUUAGGUUGGGGUGACCACGGAGUAUAAAAUAACCUCCAUGAAGAAGGGGAUAUUUCCCUUAUUAGAGAACCACACUUCCAAGAACUAAUAAAUUAAUUUUCAAUGACCCGAUACCCGAUAAUCGAUCAACGAACCAAGUUACCCUGGGGAUAACAGCGCAAUCCACCCUGAAAGCCCUUAUUAACAGGUGGGUUUACGACCUCGAUGUUGGAUCAGGGUAUCCCAGUGGUGCAGCAGCUACUGAGGGUUCGUUUGUUCAACGAUUAA
rnacentral:rRNA from 1 species